rnacentral:rRNA from 1 species
AUGGGCAGCCCCCUUUUGGUCCUAGUUUCAUCCGAGCCUGCGUGCUCGUUUUGCUUGGCUGCUAGCGCAGGUCUCGGCGCUGGCCGGCAGGGCGGGGCCAGCAGGCGGUCUAGCAGGGCCUCUUGCAGAAGCACUUGCGCGCGAAGUGCGGCGUGUGGCACUCGCUGUCUGGGAAGUUCUCCGUAUGGCAGACGGCGGUGCAGUUGCUGCUGCUGA